rnacentral:lncRNA from 10 species
ACAAUUCGAUGUCACCCCCUCCCUGACUAGCAUGUGGGCUCCCCAGGUUGGAGCCCCUUUCCCUCUCCCCUGCAUGUCCAUCGCAGGCUUCAAUGUGUCUGGCAGGCAGAUGAGAAAGCUGAAAUACUGCAAGUUGAAAUGACUCGUCCUAGAUCCCAGGUCUAGUGAAGAGUGAGCACCAGAAAUCACAUGUACUAGACUACCAGCAGUCAGAUAUAAUCAGCCCCCAAAUCUCCUGUGGUUCACUAUAUAUAAAAGAAAAAAAAAAAACAAGGAAUAUCCAACCAAAACAAGGUAAAUACACAGGAGGGUUCACUGGGCAAGAACAGAUGCAAACCAGAGAGAUUUUGAAGAGCCUGGGGUCUCUAGACAAUUCGGCACUGCUGUGGAUUUCAUGUUUGUAUCCCCUCUAAAUACAUAUGUUGAAGCCCGAGCCCCCAGUGUGAUGGUAUUUGGAGAUGGGGCCUUCGGGAGGUGAUAAGGUCAUUAAAGUGGAGCCCUCAUGAAUGACAUUAGUGCCUUACAAGAAGAAGCAGGAGACAGCUUGCUUCCUCU